rnacentral:rRNA from 1 species
AUUGAACGCUGGCGGCAGGCCUAACACAUGCAAGUCGAGCGGGGUUUUCGGACCUAGCGGCGGACGGGUGAGUAAUGCGUAGGAAGCUGCCCGAUAGAGGGGGAUACCAGUUGGAAACGACUGUUAAUACCGCAUAAUGUCUACGGACCAAAGUGUGGGACCUUCGGGCCGCAUGCUAUCGGAUGCGCCUACGUGGGAUUAGCUAGUUGGUGAGGUAAUGGCUCACCAAGGCUACGAUCUCUAGCUGGUUUGAGAGGAUGAUCAGCCACACUGGAACUGAGACACGGUCCAGACUCCUACGGGGGGCAGCAGUGGGGAAUAUUGGACAAUGGGCGCAAGCCUGAUCCAGCCAUGCGGCGUGUGUGAAGAAGGCCUUCGGGUUGUAAAGCACUUUCAGCGAGGAGGAAGGGUUAGUCGUUAAUAGCGGCUAAUUUUGACGUUACUCGCAGAAGAAGCACCGGCUAACUCUGUGCCAGCCGCCGCAGUAAGAC